rnacentral:rRNA from 1 species
GCUGGCGGCGCGCUUAACACAUGCAAGUCGCACGAGAAAGUGGAGCAAUCCAUGAGUACAGUGGCGUACGGGUGAGUAACACGUGGAUAAUCUACCCUUUAGUGGGGAAUAACCCUGGGAAACCGGGGCUAAUACCGCAUAAGCCUGGAAAGGGAAAGCAGCAAUGCGCUGAAGGAGGAGUCCGCGGCCGAUUAGCUAGUUGGUAGGGUAAUGGCCUACCAAGGCAAUGAUCGGUAGCCGGCCUGAGAGGGCACACGGCCACACUGGCACUGAAACACGGGCCAGACUCCUACGGGAGGCAGCAGUGGGGAAUCUUGCACAAUGGGGGAAACCCUGAUGCAGCGACGCCGCGUGAGCGAUGAAGCCCUUCGGGGUGUAAAGCUCUUUCGGCAGGAACGAUAAUGACGGUACCUGAAGAAGAAGCUGCGGCUAACUACGUGCCAGCAGCCGCGGUAAUACGUAGGCAGCAAGCGUUGUUCGGAGUUACUGGGCGUAAAGAGUGUGUAGGCUGUUCUCUAAGUUUGGUGUGAAAUCUCCCGGCUUAACUGGGAGGGUGCGCCGAAAACUGGAGGGCUUGAGUAUGGGAGAGGAAAGCGGAAUUCCUGGUGUAGCGGUGAAAUGCGUAGAUAUCAGGAGGAA